rnacentral:rRNA from 1 species
UACAGAGGGUGCGAGCGUUAAUCGGAAUUACUGGGCGUAAAGCGUGCGUAGACGGUCAUGUAAGUCGGGUGUGAAAGCCCCGGGCUCAACCUGGGAAUUGCAUUCGAGACUGCAUGGCUAGGGUGCGGAAGAGGGAAGCGGAAUUUCCGGUGUAGCGGUGAAAUGCGUAGAUAUCGGAAGGAACACCAGUGGCGAAAGCGGCUUCCUGGUCCGACACCGACGUUCAGGCACGAAAGCGUGGGGAGCAAAC